GAUGAACGCUGACAGAAUGCUUAACACAUGCAAGUCAACUUGGUGGCGGACGGGUGAGUAACGCGUAAAGAACUUGCCUCACAGCUAGGGCCAACAUUACGAAAUGAAUGCUAAUACCUGAUACUGUGAGAGAGCUUUGCGUCCCAUUAGCUAGUUGGCGAGGUAACAUCUACCCAAGGCGAUGAUGGGUAGCCGGACUGAGAGGGUGACCGGCCACAAGGUGCCCGAGACACGGCCCUUACUCCUACUGGAGUCAGGCGUGUGGAAUAUUGGACAAUGGACCGAUGUCUGAUCCAGCAAUUCUGUGUGCACGAUGAAGUUUUUCGGAAUGUAAAGUGCUUUCAGUUGGGAAGCGGUACCAACAGAAGAAGUGACGGCUAACUACGUGCCAGCCGCCGCGGUAAUUC
rnacentral:rRNA from 1 species